AUGCGACAUCAGAUAUCUUGAAGAUCGUCUUGAUUAGAUUAACUUUACUAGAAGAAUAUGCUGCAUUAACGUCUAGAGCGUGGGAGUUACAUGUUCAAAAUAGGAAUUUUCCUAUAAGAUUGAUCACUUACCAAAAUAUUGUACUCAUUGUAGACUACAGGGUCAUGAUAUGACAGGGUGUUGGAGUAUUCACUCUGAAUUUAG
rnacentral:misc_RNA from 1 species